UACAGAGGUCUCAAGCGUUGUUCGGAUUCAUUGGGCGUAAAGGGUGCGUAGGCGGCGCGGUAAGUCGGGUGUGAAAUUUCGAGGCUUAACUUCGAAACUGCAUUCGAUACUGCCGUGCUUGAGGACUGGAGAGGAGACUGGAAUUUACGGUGUAGCGGUGAAAUGCGUAGAUAUCGUAAGGAAGACCAGUGGCGAAGGCGGGUCUCUGGACAGUUCCUGACGCUGAGGCACGAAGGUCAGGGAGCAAACGGG
rnacentral:rRNA from 1 species